rnacentral:tRNA from 1 species
GCCCGGUUAGCUCAAUCGGUAGAGCGUGAGACUCUUAAUCUCAAGGUUGCGGGUGAGUAGCACCAGCCC